AGAAAGCAACCAUCACAGUAUUGUGUGAAAUUUUCAAGAAGCACGUAAUACUUACAUUUAAACCGCUUUUAAAAUUAUAUAUUUUGUUUUCAAAUCUUCGAGUGUUGGCCAAUCGCGAUUCUCCAAUUAAAAGAAGACGAUUGACAAAAUUGUGAAAACAGAAGACCCGGAACAGAGGAACACUACUAUACAGUACCAGCCAGAAAACUGACCUCGGGUCCCUUUCCUUUCGGACGACGGGUCUCUCCCGUUCAGGGCUGAGGCUCAAAAAGGUUAAAUUUGGAAAAUUGGUACGUGAUUGGAUUCAAAGCGCAAAAUAAGUGCGUCAGUUGGUUCUUGGCACCCCUGGCCUCUUUUCCACUUAAGGGAAUGAAGAAAA
rnacentral:sRNA from 1 species